rnacentral:rRNA from 1 species
GACGUAGGGCGCGAGCGUUGUCCGGAUUUAUUGGGCGUAAAGAGCUCGUAGGCGGCUUGUUGCGUCGGCUGUGAAAUCCCGUGGCUUAACUGCGGGUCUGCAGCCGAUACGGGCAGGCUGGAGUUCGGUAGGGGAGGACGUGGAAUUCCUGGUGUAGCGGUGAAAUGCGUAGAUAUCUGGAGGAAUACCGGUGGCGAAGGCGGCAUCCUGGACCAUUACUGACGCUGAGGCGCGAAAGCUAGGGGAGCAAACGGG